rnacentral:rRNA from 1 species
UGCCAGCAGCCGCGGUAAUACGGAGGGUGCAAGCGUUAAUCGGAAUUACUGGGCGUAAAGCGCGCGUAGGCGGUCUGGUAAGCCUCUUGAGAAAGCUCCCGGCUUAACCGGGAAAGGUCGAGGGGAACUACUCAGCUAGAGGAAAGUGGAAUUCCGAGUGUAGGGGUGAAAUCCGUAGAUAUUCGGAGGAACACCAGUGGCGAAGGCGGCUUUCUGGACCGAUACUGACGCUGAGACGCGAAAGCGUGGGGAGCAAACAGGAUUAGAUA